rnacentral:rRNA from 1 species
GGGCUUGACAUCCCACGAACCUGCUAGAGAUAGCGGGGUGCCCUUCGGGGAACUUGGUGACAGGUGCUGCAUGGCUGUCGUCAGCUCGUGUCGUGAGAUGUUGGGUUAAGUCCCGCAACGAGCGCAACCCUCACCCCUUGUUGCCAUCAGGUCACGCUGGGCACUCUAGGGGGACUGCCGGUGAUAAACCGGAGGAAGGUGGGGAUGACGUCAAGUCCUCAUGGCCUUUAUGUCCAGGGCUACACACGUGCUACAAUGGGCGGUACAGAGGGUUGCAAGAGCGCGAGCUGGAGCCAAUCCCAAAAGCCGUCCUCAGUUCAGAUUGCAGUCUGCAAUUCGACUGCAUGAAGGUGGAAUCGCUAGUAAUCGCGGAUCAGAAUGCCGCGGUGAAUACGUUCCCGGGCCUUGUACACACCGCCCGUCACAUCACGAAAGUCGGCUGUACUCGAAGUCGCUGAG